rnacentral:rRNA from 1 species
UGAACGCUGGCGGCGUGCCUAAUACAUGCAAGUCGAGCGAACAGACGCGGAGCUUGCUCCUCUGCCGUUAGCGGCGGACGGGUGAGUAACACGUGGAUAACCUACCUAUAAGACUGGGAUAACUUCGGGAAACCGGAGCUAAUACCGGAUAAUAUAUUGAACCGCAUGGUUCAAUAGUGAAAGACGGUUUUGCUGUCACUUAUAGAUGGAUCCGCGCCGCAUUAGCUAGUUGGUAAGGUAACGGCUUACCAAGGCAACGAUGCGUAGCCGACCUGAGAGGGUGAUCGGCCACACUGGAACUGAGACACGGUCCAGACUCCUACGGGAGGCAGCAGUAGGGAAUCUUCCGCAAUGGGCGAAAGCCUGACGGAGCAACGCCGCGUGAGUGAUGAAGGUCUUCGGAUCGUAAAACUCUGUUAUUAGGGAAGAACAAAUGUGUAAGUAACUAUGCACGUCUUGACGGUACCUAAUCAGAAAGCCACGGCUAACUACGUG